rnacentral:rRNA from 1 species
CAGUAGCCACGGUAAUACAGAGGAUGCAAGCGUUAUCCGGAAUGAUUGGGCGUAAAGCGUCUGUAGGUGGCUUUUCAAGUCCGCCGUCAAAUCCCAGGGCUCAACCCUGGACAGGCGGUGGAAACUACCAAGCUAGAGUACGGUAGGGGCAGAGGGAAUCUCCGGUGGAGCGGUGAAAUGCGUUGAGAUCGAAAAGAACACCAACGACGAAAGCACUCUGCUGGGUCGACACUGACACUGAGAGACGAAAGCUAGGGGAGCAAAUGGGAUUAGAUACCCCUGUAGUCCCUGUCUCUUAUAC